GAGAUAAGUAAUAUGAUUAAAUAAAAUUGGAAUGAUAUAGAGAAGAUUAGCAUGACCCCUGUGCAAGGAUGACACACAUGUAACGACCCGAGUUCAAGAAGGGU